rnacentral:rRNA from 1 species
CCAGACCGCCAGCUAAGGUCCCAAAGUCAUGGUUAAGUGGGAAACGAUGUGGGAAGGCCCAGACAGCCAGGAUGUUGGCUUAGAAGCAGCCAUCAUUUAAAGAAAGCGUAAUAGCUCACUGGUCGAGUCGGCCUGCGCGGAAGAUGUAACGGGGCUAAACCAUGCACCGAAGCUGCGGCAGCGACACUAUGUGUUGUUGGGUAGGGGAGCGUUCUGUAAGCCUGUGAAGGUGUACUGUGAGGUAUGCUGGAGGUAUCAGAAGUGCGAAUGCUGACAUAAGUAACGAUAAAGCGGGUGAAAAGCCCGCUCGCCGGAAGACCAAGGGUUCCUGUCCAACGUUAAUCGGGGCAGGGUGAGUCGACCCCUAAGGCGAGGCCGAAAGGCGUAGUCGAUGGGAAACAGGUUAAUAUUCCUGUACUUGGUGUUACUGCGAAGGGGGGACGGAGAAGGCUAUGUUGGCCGGGCGACGGUUGUCCCGGUUUAAGCGUGUAGGCUGGUUUUCCAGGCAAAUCCGGAAAAUCAAGGCUGAGGCGUGAUGACGAGGCACUACGGUGCUGAAGCAACAAAUGCCCUGCUUCCAGGAAAAGCCUCUAAGCAUCAGGUAACAUCAAAUCGUACCCCAAACCGACACAGGUGGUCAGGUAGAGAAUACCAAGGCGCUUGAGAGAACUCGGGUGAAGGAACUAGGCAAAAUGGUGCCGUAACUUCGGGAGAAGGCACGCUGAUAUGUAGGUGAGGUCCCUCGCGGAUGGAGCUGAAAUCAGUCGAAGAUACCAGCUGGCUGCAACUGUUUAUUAAAAACACAGCACUGUGCAAACACGAAAGUGGACGUAUACGGUGUGACGCCUGCCCGGUGCCGGAAGGUUAAUUGAUGGGGUUAGCGGUAACGCGAAGCUCUUGAUCGAAGCCCCGGUAAACGGCGGCCGUAACUAUAACGGUCCUAAGGUAGCGAAAUUCCUUGUCGGGUAAGUUCCGACCUGCACGAAUGGCGUAAUGAUGGCCAGGCUGUCUCCACCCGAGACUCAGUGAAAUUGAACUCGCUGUGAAGAUGCAGUGUACCCGCGGCAAGACGGAAAGACCCCGUGAACCUUUACUAUAGCUUGACACUGAACAUUGAGCCUUGAUGUGUAGGAUAGGUGGGAGGCUUUGAAGUGUGGACGCCAGUCUGCAUGGAGCCGACCUUGAAAUACCACCCUUUAAUGUUUGAUGUUCUAACGUUGACCCGUAAUCCGGGUUGCGGACAGUGUCUGGUGGGUAGUUUGACUGGGGCGGUCUCCUCCUAAAGAGUAACGGAGGAGCACGAAGGUUGGCUAAUCCUGGUCGGACAUCAGGAGGUUAGUGCAAUGGCAUAAGCCAGCUUGACUGCGAGCGUGACGGCGCGAGCAGGUGCGAAAGCAGGUCAUAGUGAUCCGGUGGUUCUGAAUGGAAGGGCCAUCGCUCAACGGAUAAAAGGUACUCCGGGGAUAACAGGCUGAUACCGCCCAAGAGUUCAUAUCGACGGCGGUGUUUGGCACCUCGAUGUCGGCUCAUCACAUCCUGGGGCUGAAGUAGGUCCCAAGGGUAUGGCUGUUCGCCAUUUAAAGUGGUACGCGAGCUGGGUUUAGAACGUCGUGAGACAGUUCGGUCCCUAUCUGCCGUGGGCGCUGGAGAACUGAGGGGGGCUGCUCCUAGUACGAGAGGACCGGAGUGGACGCAUCACUGGUGUUCGGGUUGUCAUGCCAAUGGCACUGCCCGGUAGCUAAAUGCGGAAGAGAUAAGUGCUGAAAGCAUCUAAGCACGAAACUUGCC